CCUCUGCUUCUUCUUUAUGCAGGGCAGGCCAGAUCAGACAGGGGUGGAACGGCGGUGAGGAGACGAUGGCGAUGAGUAGGAGGUUCCUGGCGACAGCGACCGAGAAGGCUUCCGAUGACAAGGAGGUCGCGGUGAGCGAGAAAGGUGACGGCAGGAAGUUCAGGCUCUUCCCCAGGAGGAACCGCAGGAGGAGCCUCUGGAGGAGGAACGAGGAUGCUGACUUUGUACCUGCUCUUUAUGGUAAAAUGUUUUUAUGUCUGUUAUAGAUUCUCGGUUUCCUGUAUUUGUUUCGAAGCAGCUCCUGUUGUUUUUUAAUGUGGAAAGAUGUUAAUAAGGGCAAGAAUCUCAUGUUUGGUCUGAGAUUAGUGGGAUAUUUCGCGGGAGGAGAAAUUUCACUUCCCUGAUCAGAGUAGAGGCCUACACAGAGCAAGUCAGGAUCAAACUUGUUAAAUUGAACUCAUUAAGAUUAAGAAUGUUUCUGGUGCUAAUUUGAACACCUUGGUUUGUAACCCUUUCUUUGGCAUUUUUCAGAGUUCUUUCCUUCGGGGCUCGGCAACGCACUGAUGCAAGCGACGGAGAACAUUAACAGGCUGUUCGAGAACAUGAAUAUAUCGCCAUGGCAACUCAUGGGCAGAGUCAAAGAGAAGGACGACCACUACAAGCUGCAAUACGAGGUCCCGGGGCUGACCAAGGACGACGUGAAGAUCACGGUUCACGACGGGAUCCUGACGAUCAAGGGCGAGCACAAGAGAGAGGAAGAGGAAGGGUCGGAUGACGAGUACUGGUCUGCCGCGACGUAUGGGUACUACAACACGAGCCUAGUCCUGCCUGAGGAUGCUAAAGCGGAUGAGAUCAAGGCCGAGCUGAAGGAUGGUGUGCUCAACAUCAUCAUUCCCAGAACAGAGAAGCCGA
rnacentral:lncRNA from 1 species